rnacentral:tRNA from 1 species
UUCCUGGUAGCCUAGAGGUUAAGGCUUUAGUGCUGUCACCACUGUGGCUCAGGUUCAAUCCCUGGCCUGGGAA